rnacentral:lncRNA from 1 species
UGCGAGUGAGGACAAAACAUGUUGAAAAGGCCCGUGUUGAUUUGUGGGGUUAGUUGAUAAUCCUGAAAGCAGUUUGGGGUGUUACAUAGUGGAAUAGAGGAAGUUAAACCUUGGUGUUAAGAGAAGUAUGUGAUAGCAGCAUUAUGGUCAUAAGUAAGUGUAAUGGAUUCCUUGUCUUGAGAUGGAUGUAAAGUAACAUAC